GUGCUUCAGUGCUUGUAUGUGUGUUAGGAUGUAGGGUGGGUAACAGGCACAAGAAGGAAUUUCUUCCUCAAAACGCUCAGGAAGCAGGGAGGAAAUGAAAACAACUUCUCCUUCCAAGGCAAAACCCUUGUUCUUCCUUUGGAUACUAGAAAAACAACAGAUGCACAAUGGCCACCAGAGGUCCAUAGCUUCUGCUGUUGUUUUUCGGCAUACCACUUAACCAAGUCCUGCUCUCGGUUCAUCAUCGGCAAACCAGCAUCCUCUCCAUAGAAGAUGGCUGGCUGGAUGGAGCAGGAGGAUUAACCAGAACCCACAGACUCUCUUAUCAGAAAGCAGCAGGUUGAAAAUCAGGAGCAAAAAGAGAUGCAUCAUCGCCUUGCUUAUGAGUCACUUUGUGGUCCCAUGCUCUGUUACCCAUGCACACAUAAGCAAGGAAUACUUACAAAUAUAGAGCCGACAAACAUACACACACUCCUACACCUGCAUCAAUAAUGUUUAUACCCAAAUAGAGCCACUGUCCCUGCAUGUUUAGAACUAUAUCCAGGGGUGAUGAGGACAGAAGAUGUGCCACCCUUGUCAAAUGUCUAAAGCUGUUCACAGCAACUUCUUUUACUUUCUUAGAGAUUUCCGGGUGGUCACAAGGAUGUUUUUAAAUUUUGGGAAAACCUCCAGCAUACCUGCUUCAGGCACACACUUCAAAUGAUGGGUAAUCCCCCCCCCCCCCCGAACCUAACUCCAAGUGGAAACACUGUAUAUUGCCAGAAUAUAAUCAGAAAUGUGGCCAAAAUUACAUUGGAAAAUAAAGUAUGAUCACAGUCUUAAGAAAUGCUGUACAAACAUCCCCAUACAAAGAUUUAAAUGCCAGAUCUGAAAAUAAUAUUAUUGA